rnacentral:precursor_RNA from 15 species
UCUGUAUAUUGUUUAGUCCAUUCAGUUUGUAGGCAGAUCAAUCAAUUUUUAGGUUUAUAUAAAUAAUCCUAAAGUCGAUUGCUCUACCCACAAAAAGUAAUGUUGACUUGAAGUUAUGUAU